rnacentral:rRNA from 1 species
GAUGAACGCUGACAGAAUGCUUAACACAUCAGCAAUGGAUUGGUGGCGGACGGGUGAGUAACGCGUAGAGAACUUGCCUCACAGCUAGGGACAACAUUUGGAAACGAAUGCUAAUACCUAAUACUGUGAGAGAGCUUUGCGUCCCAUUAGCUCGUAGGAGAGGUAACGGCUCACCAAGGCGAUGAUGGGUAGCCGGCCUGGGAGGGUGAUCGGCCACAAGGGGACUGAGACACGGCCCUUAAGCCUACGUGAGGAAGCAGUGGGGAAUAGUGGACAAUGGGCCAAAGUCUGAUCCAGCAAUUCUGGGUGCACGAUGAAGUUUUCGGAAUGUAAAGUGCUUGCAGUGGGGAAGCGGUACCAACAGAAGAAGUGACGGCUAAAUACGUGCCAGCAGCCGCGGUAAUUC